rnacentral:lncRNA from 1 species
UUGGGUGGCACAAAUGCAUCCUUGGCUUUACCAGACUUAAUAUUGGGUUGUUUCUUUUCAUUUUCUGAAAAUUUAACGGAUUCCUCCAAGUCAUCUCCCUGUAAAUACAAUAUAAUAUGGCCGAGAAAUUCGGAACGGACAAUUCGGCUGGCGGUUUCAGUGAAAAUUUCAAGCGAAUUGAUCACCGGAAUCCACCUAGUGAGCAUUGCGGAGACUCGGAAGAUAUGGAGUCAUCAUCCACGACAACUAAAAAAUCAUCUUCGUCUGCCAGGAAAAAGACGUUUGCGUCGAAGGUUCUGUUGUAUUUUAAAAAAAGGUGCGAAUGGAAAAUGAAGAGUUGCGACUUUUACGAGAUGUUGCGACUUUGAUGAAAAGUUGUGACUUUUAUGAAAAGUUGUGACUUUUAUGGAAAGUUAUGACUUUUAUGAAAGGUGACGACCAUUCUGAAAGAUUGUGACUUUUCCAAAGGUUUGUGACCUUUCCGAUAAGACACAAUAAGAACCUUUUCGUACCACCCUUUGUCUUCUAUAAAUUGAGGAAUUUCCUCGCAUUUUAAUAUAGAAUUCAUUGACUUCUUCUUCAACUACUAAAUCUAGUAUUCUAAGUGUACUUUACUGCCAUUGUGUGGUUCGCUGACACCGGAGUUUUUGGUAUCUAUACUCUGGUGAUUGAAAUCAUUUUACCCUGGGAGGUCAUAUUCCAAAUCAAACCUCGGAUACUAGAGGGGAAUAAUUUCCUUAGGGGAUACUGUGAAUUCAGUGGACUUGAUCUUUUUCCUAUUAAUUUUUUUUCAGAUUCUGAUACGUGUUUUACAAAAUUUAGAUUUGUAAAUUAAUUUCAGUUCUUCUAUUCUUUUGUUCUUCACUGGUUCAUUAAACUUGAUAACUUCGUAUUUCUGCAAAGUUUGUUGGGAUCAGUAAGAUUCUUUAGACACAUAUUAAAC